UCCGAGUUAACCCCGGCAGUCUCCUGCGAGUCCCCGCCAUUACGCGCUGGCAACACAGGACAAGGGUUGCGCUCGUUGCGGGACUUAACCCAACAUCUCACGACACGAGCUGACGACAGCCAUGCACCACCUGUAUACCGACCACAAGGGGGACCCUGUCUCCAGGGUUUUCCGGUGUAUGUCAAGCCUUGGUAAGGUGGGGAUGACGUAAGGAUAG
rnacentral:misc_RNA from 1 species